UCAGCUCUCUUUCCAUUAAUUUGGCUUAGAUCAAGUGUAGUAUCUGUUCUUUUCAGUUUAAUCUCUGAAACGUCUCUACGGAGACAUCAAGAUUAAUCUUGUUUUUGGAUCUGGGGUGGUGGCCGCUGAGCUUGCUCAUGUCAUCUCCCACAGUGUCGCCUGUAUCGCACUGUUUCGGGCUGACGCGACACUUU
rnacentral:snRNA from 1 species